GACGAACGCUGGCGGCGUGCCUAAUACAUGCAAGUCGAGCGGACUUUCAAGAAGCUUGCUUUUUGAAAGUUAGCGGCGGACGGGUGAGUAACACGUGGGCAACCUGCCUGCAAGACGGGGAUAACUCCGGGAAACCGAGGCUAAUACCGGAUAAUAUCUUCCUUCGCAUGAAGGAAGGUUGAAAGGCGGCGCAAGCUGCCGCUUGCAGAUGGGCCCGCGGCGCAUUAGCUAGUUGGUGAGGUAACGGCUCACCAAGGCGACGAUGCGUAGCCGACCUGAGAGGGUGAUCGGCCACACUGGGACUGAGACACGGCCCAGACUCCUACGGGAGGCAGCAGUAGGGAAUCUUCCGCAAUGGACGAAAGUCUGACGGAGCAACGCCGCGUGAGCGAAGAAGGUCUUCGGAUCGUAAAGCUCUGUUGUCAGGGAAGAACAAGUACCGUUCGAACAGGGCGGUACCUUGACGGUACCUGACCAGAAAGCCACGGCUAACUACGUG
rnacentral:rRNA from 1 species